GAACUUUGGGUGUUGUGUGCUGCCCUGCCUGAAGUGCCCUGCUGUGCUGUAGCCUUAAGCUCUCCCUCAUGCUCCUUCAUUCUCUGCCAAACAAACCAGAGCUUGCCGAUGUCCCUGAGCGAGUCAUGUCAGCCUCUUCUGUAUCCCCCUGAUGGAGGCUGAAGGAGUCCUGGCCUUCCCACUGCUGCCUUUUUCUGCCACAGUAGACCUGAGCAGCCUAAACCCCAAGCUGCUAAAGGAGGGGCAGCAUGUGGUCAUCGUUGGAGAGGUCCUGAUACUACACAUCAGUGAGAUACUGGAAGAGGACAUUUCAGCUGUUUCACGAGACUCUAUUAGGACCAGAUGGCCAGAAGCAGCACUGCCCAGUCAAGUCCUUAAACUGCCUGACUGGUUCUGGGAAUUUAUGGCCCGAGGUGUCCCACCCUACUCUGAUGCGAAUUCACCAUCAAGGCCAUAGACGGCUGCUGCCAGAGUUCUGCCCUGAUGCCUUCUACAACGUGAUGUUUGAGUGUUGGCACCCCAAACCUGACCGAAGGCCCACCUGAGCUUGUCUCCCGCAUCUCUGCUGUUUUCUCCAGCUUCAGCAGUGAGCACUACAUCCUCCUGAACACCACCUAUGUCAACAUUGACAAAAUGACACCCUACCCCUCUCUCAUCCCCUCUCAGAGCCAGCUGGACCGGGACUGCUGCACCUGAGAGAGGACGAGAGAGAUAGGGAGGAAAGCAGAAGGACAUAAAGAGCAAGACAGAGAAAGAAAGAGACUGUUUGAUUACUCUGAAUCUGCUGAGUAAGACUGACAGACACUGGACCGAGUGCCAGGGAACAUUUGCACUUCUCUAUGGAGAAAAAGCUGCCCCAGGUCACUGCUGAAGUCAGUAAAGGGAAGCUGAUUGUCUUUAUCACUGUAGAUAGACUACGGUCUAUUUGAAGCAGGCAGGACGCACGCUGACAGACGUGGACUGACUCUACUGGACUCCUGACUGAACGAGCCAUCAGCUCUUUCACAGCUCACACUGAUAGAAGAGGAAAGCACAGACCAAAACCGUAAAACCCAUCAAAUUCACUCUCACUGUGACUAGUAUUCUUACAUACAUUCUUUUAAAAAAAGGUGCCACAAAGGGUUCUCUGAGCAAUGCCAUAGAAGAACCACUUGGGGUUCCCUAAAGAACCCAAAGAUGUUCCCAUGUUUGAAUAAGAUAUGUGCGGGUAUGAAGUAUCUAUUCAAGGCUUAAAGAACCUUUGCAUAAUAUAAAAGGUUUUGUAUGUAUAUUUUAGGGUUCUUCUGAGGAAAGUCGGCCCUCAUUCAUCAAAUAGGUGUUUGGCCAAUUCUGAUUUCAGUUUUGUUAUUUAUCAAUUAUCUUAAAUUAUUAAUAAAGUGUUUAUUUUUACAUAAAUGGCUGCAUCAAUAAAGCCUGGGAUCAAUAAAGGAAUCUGAAUCUGAAUCUGAAUCUGAAUCUGAAUCUGAAUCUGAAUGUCAUCUUUGGCGUAUCUGAAUGGCCAAACUCAGUUCUGGUAGGAAUGUGUGGGCUAUUGACCAUAAUAGGAAAAAAUGAUUUAUAUGCAGUUAACUAAUCAAAACAGUCUUUGAUUUCAGUAAUAAGAACAAAAACAUAAAAUAACAAUGCUGAAUAAUUAUAAUGCCAUAUAAUCUUUUGUGUGCAUGACAAUCUGUAGUACAAAAGUGCAUGUAUUUAUUUUACAUGCAGAUUGGUAUAAACAAAUGCUGCAACUAUUCAAUGUUCUAUUAAAAAAUACACUGUAAAAAUAAAAAAUUAAAAAAUUACAAAAAACAUGCAGAAGCAUCUCAUACACUGCCAUAAUACAGUGUUUAAUUUUAUUUUGGAAAAUAGUCACACCGCAGUCACAUCAUUCUACCACCUCUACCAAGACCUUUUGUUUAUUUCACAUUUUAUUCUUUCCAGUUGUUGUAAUUUUAACACUAUAAAGUUUGGUCAGACAGGGGACUCACUGCUCCACCACAAACUACGCCUACACAUUACACAUUACAUGUGAAAUUACACUUGAUGAAUCUUUAUCUUGUCUGCACAAGUUCAUUUAUAGAUGUUUAUGUUUAUGCUCUGAUUGCUGAAAACAAUCUGGCAGGUGGGCUCUUAAUAAAUUU
ensembl:lncRNA